ACGGCUGGGGUCUGCAGCCAUGGC
rnacentral:piRNA from 1 species